ACAUCAACCCAAAAUCUUCCACAACACUGACCAACAGCCAAGAUGAGAUUUCUAGUGCCACUAUGUGUUUUCCUCACUGUGACAGCGUUUCACUCUGCUCUCUCAGCAUCUCUGGAAUCUGCGGAGAAAGAGGAAGUAGUUGCUCAGCCCGAUGGGCUAGCUGAACUGCAGAAAAUAGAUCAGAUGGAGUUUGAGGCCGCUCAAAAGAACGAGGCCGCUCAGAUGAAUGUGACAGAGGAACAGAAUGAGGAAACCCGCUACCUUGAGGCUGUUCAAGAUGGAUCCGUAGAGGAGCAUAUUGAAGCUGAGGACGACAGCACAGCAGAGGGAGCUGGGAACUCUGACGCAGCAGCUCAUGAGGAGUCCCAGUCUGAGUCUUCUGAGGAAACAGAUGGGAGACAGAGACGGGAGCAUCACGAGGCAGUGCCAAAGAAUGUGAGCAGUUUGGAUGAAGCCAUUCAUGAUUCAACCAAGUGGGAAGGUGGAGACUUCUAAAUGCUACACAGUAAUGAUUUAUCUUGAGACUGAAUGCAAUGUUAUCUGUUCCCUAGUAUGAUCCAGGGACGGUGGUUCACUUUUUUUUUUAAGGAGGACUCGUAGUACCUGCUGAGGCGAGAUGUGGUGAACUGUUUUGAGUAACACAGGGAAAGUUAAAUUGUAGGUUAUGCAAUGAACAGCCUGUGAACAACAGAGCCAGUCAUAGCCGGUCUCAGCUAGUUUUAAAUAGUGUUGAAAACCUCGGUUGGGUUCAGAAUCAAGAACUGUAAAAUGCCUCAAGAGCAAUUAAAAGUUUACAACAUCUACAGCUUGUUAAAACAGUUGGUUUAAAAACAUUCAAAACAAAUGUUCUAGAGAGAUCACUCAAGUCACCACAGCGAUCGGUUGGCUGCUUGACCUCAAAAAUAAGAUGCUGGGAUUGUUUAUUGGAACACAGUCCUCCUUGUAUGCGAGUAAAUCUAGGACAAGAAUCCAGGACACUGCGAGGCGUCUGUCCCCAGGUAGUUAUUGUGCUUGAUUUAUACUGUAUCGACUGCUUCUGGUUAUUUUUGGACCAAGGAUGCACUGUCCCUGCCCUAAAAGAUGCCAACAGGAUGGUUUUAAAAUUCACUAAAGGCUUCAGACCCAAGGUUAUUGAUGCUAUAAUAAAGGUUGUCUUUUGGAUUCUCUUUGAUGAGAAAAGUCAAAUUCCUGAGAAGGCAGAACUACAUGAACUGGUUUAAUAAGAUAAAUCAUCCUGUAGCUGUUAAUCCUCAUCCUCUGUGGAUAGAAUAGGCAUCCCUUUGUGCUUCACAGCAGUAACAUCACACACUGGUGCUGUCGUCAUUCAUCAGUGACUAAGGACUGAGUGAAUGUACUGGAGUGAGAAAGCACAGCAGCGCGUGGAUCCCGACGCUCGCUCAUCUCCCGGAGCCUGAGCUGCACUGCGCUUACUGCCAAUAAAAAGGGAACUAUUCCACC